UAGGGAAUCUUCGGCAAUGGACGGAAGUCUGACCGAGCAACGCCGCGUGAGUGAAGAAGGUUUUCGGAUCGUAAAGCUCUGUUGUAAGAGAAGAACGAGUGUGAGAGUGGAAAGUUCACACUGUGACGGUAUCUUACCAGAAAGGGACGGCUAACUACGUGCCAGCAGCCGCGGUAAUACGUAGGUCCCGAGCGUUGUCCGGAUUUAUUGGGCGUAAAGCGAGCGCAGGCGGUUAGAUAAGUCUGAGGUUAAAGGCUGUGGCUUAACCAUAGUACGCUUUGGAAACUGUUUAACUUGAGUGCAAGAGGGGAGAGUGGAAUUCCAUGUGUAGCGGUGAAAUGCGUAGAUAUAUGGAGGAACACCGGUGGCGAAAGCGGCUCUCUGGCUUGUAACUGACGCUGAGGCUCGAAAGCGUGGGGAGCAAACAGGAUUAGAUACCCUGGUAGUCCACGCCGUAAACGAUGAGUGCUAGGUGUUAGACCCUUUCCGGGGUUUAGUGCCGCAGCUAACGCAUUAAGCACUCCGCCUGGGGAGUACGACCGCAAGGUUG
rnacentral:rRNA from 1 species